GGCCUAACACAUGCAAGUCGAGCGGAUGAGAAGAGCUUGCUCUUCGAUUCAGCGGCGGACGGGUGAGUAAUGCCUAGGAAUCUGCCUGAUAGUGGGGGACAACGUUUCGAAAGGAACGCUAAUACCGCAUACGUCCUACGGGAGAAAGCAGGGGACCUUCGGGCCUUGCGCUAUCAGAUGAGCCUAGGUCGGAUUAGCUAGUUGGUGAGGUAAUGGCUCACCAAGGCGACGAUCCGUAACUGGUCUGAGAGGAUGAUCAGUCACACUGGAACUGAGACACGGUCCAGACUCCUACGGGAGGCAGCAGUGGGGAAUAUUGGACAAUGGGCGAAAGCCUGAUCCAGCCGUGCCGCGUGUGUGAAGAAGGUCUUCGGAUUGUAAAGCACUUUAAGUUGGGAGGAAGGGCAUUAACCUAAUACGUUAGUGUUUUGACGUUACCGACAGAAUAAG
rnacentral:rRNA from 1 species